rnacentral:miRNA from 1 species
UCUCUUCACCAUAGGACCUUGUUAAAAUGCAGAUUCUGAUUUAGCAAGUCUGAUUUCGUGUUUCUGCAUUUCUCACAAGUUCCCAAGUGAUCCCAAUGCCACU